CUCCGCCGGCGACCGGCGCACGGAUGAGUAACACGUAUGCAACCUGCCCCUGUCAGGGGGACAACCCGCCGAAAGGCGGGCUAAACCCGCGUACAUGCCACCGGGGCAUCCCGGAGGCAGGAAAGGCUUCGGCCGGACAGGGAUGGGCAUGCGGCGCAUUAGGCAGUAGGCGGGGUAACGGCCCACCUAACCGACGAUGCGUAGGGGUUCUGAGAGGAAGGUCCCCCACACUGGUACUGAGACACGGACCAGACUCCUACGGGAGGCAGCAG
rnacentral:rRNA from 1 species